CUAAAUCAUUCACUUGUACUCACUAAAGGAGAGCUUGAACCUAUGUACUUGUGCAAAACCUUCACAAUUAAUGAGAAUUCCUCUACUCCGUGGACAUAGCCAAUUUGGGUGAACCACGUACAUCUUGUAUUUGCUUCCCUGUCUCCAUCCAUUUAGAUACUUAUCCACACUAGUGACUGAAGCAAUCUAGCGAAGGUUACAAACUUGACACUUUCUGUUGUACCAAAGUCCCCACUGAUUUUGUGCAUCAACAUUUGGUGCCGUCUGUGGGAACGACACUUAUUCUCACUCUCUUCCGCUUUGCCAAGUUGGUUUCCACCACUCAUACAUUCUCUUCUGACCAGGCAUCCCUCUCCAACAUGGGGAGCGAAGGAAGCCACAACACACAGAAUGACACCCCUCUUGCACCUAGUGCGAAGCAACGAAAGAAUGAAGGAAAGAGGGUUGCUCUUCAAGCUAAAGUUGAUGAGCUAGAAGCUCAGAACAACAAGAUAGCAAUGAAAAAUGAGGUCCUCCAGGAACAGUACGAGAAGCUCUUUGAGACGCUCCACGAAACUAGGCGUACUCAAACACGCGAGCUCGUUGCCCCUGUGGACAUCAAUCAUCAUCUGGGUGCCCCCCAACACGGAGGGUCACCUCCUUUCGACAUGGAUAUCCCUGAUGAGGAGCGAGCUAAUCAUCAAAACAUUGAUCAACAUGAGACUUAUCUCAACCCAGAUGCUUCGACCCGAAGUAGAAGAAGUGGAGGAAGACACCUCCUUGCAGAAGGGUUGGAAAGAUCGAAAGUCGAGAGAAUCCCCUCCAUAUAUGCCCAAAGAUCAAUGACCCAAUGGUUUCUAAAAGACCCGGUCCCCUCCAACGACCCAGGCUAGCUGUCAAUCUGGGGAAGAAACUACAGGUCCCAGAGGAACAUGAAAGUACGGGGGACUCUGAGGUAUUCUGACAGACUCGCCUUAAAAGUCAGUACGGUGAGUCCAAGAAAAAACCACACGCCCUUGCUCAAACUUUCCUACUUCCAAGAGACGAUGGAGACUUAUGAAAGAAAAUUCCAGUGGUACAUGACUCCACUCAGGACUCUCUUGUCCUACAGCUCAUUGAGGAAGUAAACAAGUUGAAGGCCGAAUGUUAGGCCGAGAUACCUGACUGGAACCAACCCAAGCUUGGCCCUCUCACAAGAAGGAUCCUCGACACCCCAUUCAAGCGAAGACAAAACAAAAGCUUGGUUUACAACUCUAUACUGGAAUGAAGGAUCCAAUUGAACACCUUAACCUCUUUGAGUCCACCAUGGCAUAUCGGAUGAACACCGACGAAGAACGAUGUCUUCUCUUCCCCUCCACCCUCUCUGGCGGAGCUCUAAACUGGUAUUGCCGUCUUCCACCUGAGACAGUAGACUCAUUUAAGGAACUGAGGAAACUGUUUGUCUCUCAACAUAUCUUUCAGACCGAUCGCUUACAUUCUAUAGAUGACUUGUACACUAUUUGCCAGAAGCCGGACGAGUCACUACGAGAGUAUGCCGGUCACUUCAGCCAUGAGUAUUCUCGUUGCGCUGAGGUAGAUGACAAGACCGCCCUCAAGGCCUUCACGGCAGGCCUACGUGAUUGUUUCUUCAAGUACAUGAUCAAUGCCAGCACUUGGAAGACUUACUCUGAGGUGAUAACACAAGCUUACAACCACGCCUCUGCUGAAGCAAGGACAUACCAAGGGAACCCCCAUAUGGUUAACCCCUAUCAACACGUGGUAAGUGGAAGUCAAGUUCUGCCAAGUGAGGAGAUCUUGGCCAUUCAGACACCCAUUGCAUCAUCUCCUGCCUCAUUUAGUUACUUUUUAAGUCACUAAACGUAUCUGUCUCUUGGUAAGAGGAAGGAUUUUUACUCUCAGCAAACCCAUUACAACAAGAGGGAUAAAAGUUCGUAUCAAGACAACCAGGGGUGAACGUAUCGUCGACUAUUAUGACUAUGGGGCCAGGCCUCACUCUUUCAAAGUGGAUGACCAGGUACUGAAGGAAAUGCUAUUAUAAGAAGGUAUACACAUUACAAAUGUUUUGACUCUCAACCGCUUGAGAUCUUUUGUCACACAAACCAUUCGGAAAAUUUUUAAAGAAGAGGGAAUUCAGACAACUUCUUUUGAGUCUUUUGCGUUCCUAGCACUGGAACACUUGGUCUACGCUGACCUACCCUUCUACUCCAACUUAGAGCUUCAACAUGCGUACUUUGACACAAAGUAUAUGACACUAAGUGUUACAACCAACAUGGUUCACAUAUCAAAAGCAUGGAUCCCUUCAUGCAUAGCAAAACAUUCAUAAGCAUCACUCAUAUUAAUCAACAUAAACAUCAUGCAUUCCAACACAUUCAUACAUAAACAUCAUACAUUCCAACACAUUCAUCCAUAAACAUCAUACAUUCCAACACAUCCAUACAUAAGCCAACUGUGCUUCAAAAGGGUUCAACAUACUUUGUGUCUUUGACACUUGCUACAAUGUUCCUCGACACCUUGCCCUUAUUCUCACCAACUAGGUGAUGGAAUGUGAAGAAGGAACUCAUCUUCAUGCCACCAACCAGGUGAUGAAAUGUACAACCCGUACUCUCUUUCAUGCGACCAACCAGGUGAUGAAAUGUACAACCCGUACUCUAAUAUCAUUUGGCAACUUGCCACUCAUGCCACCAACCAGGUGAAGAAGGAACCCAUCUUCGUGCCACCAACCAAGUGAUGAAAUGUACAACCCGUACUCUAAUAUCGUUUGGCAACUUGCACCUCAUGCCACCAACCAGGUGAAGAAGGAACUCAUAUUCAUGCCACCAACCAAGUGAUGAAAUGUACAACAUGUACUCUAAUAUCAUUUGGCAACUUGCCACUCAUGCCACCAACCAGGUGAAGAAAGAACUCAUCUUCGUGCCACCAACCAGGUGAUAAAAUGUACAACCUGUACUCUCCUUCAUACCACCAACCAGGUGAAGAAGGAACUCAUCUUCGUGCCACCAACCAGGUGAUAAAAUGUACAACCCGUACUCUCAUUCAUGCCAUUAACCAGGUGAUGAAAUGUAUAAUCCAUACUUUAAUAUCAUUUGGCAACUUGCCACUCAUGCCACCAACCAGGUGAAUAAGGAAAUCAUCUUUGUGCCACCAAUCAUGUGAUGAAAGCAACUCACCAUUCAUUCCACCAAACAGAAGACGAGUGGUACAACUUGUACAUGUGAACUCCUAGCAUUCACAAAUAAUAAAAAACCCUCAUGUUUUACAACUCAACUAGGGGAGCACUUAUGCCCAACAAGAGUUAUAGUCACUAACAAAGUCUAUUGCAAGCCAACAACAACUUCAGUGCAUGACAUACGAAGAUCAAGCUAUUCAGCCCUCUUGCAUUUGCUUCAGACAUUUCUCCUUUGUAAUAAUGCAAACAUUACAAGGUGUGGCUUGCAUCAGAAUCUUUUGCUCAACAGUGUGGAAGCAAAAUUUGUAUAUGUUGUCAUCAAAGGAGUUCAACCACAAUUCUCAAAAGCUUCACACACUCUUAAUCAAGACAGUGUGAAGCAAAACCAAUCUAUGGUGCCAACAAAAGCUUCAUCAAUGGAGGGCAACCACAAUUCUCAAAAGCUUCACACACUCUUGAUCAAGACAGUGUGAAGCAAAACCAAUUUAUGGUGCCAAUAAGAGCUUCAUCAAUGGAAGGCAACCACAAUUCUCAAAAGCUUCACACACUUUUGAUCAAGACAGUGUGAAGCAAAACCAAUUUAUGGUGCCAACAAAAGCUUCAUCAAUGGAGGGCAACUACAAUUCUCAAACCUUCGAAGCAAAUUCAAGACUGUUCGAAGCAAAUUCAAUUUAUAUGGUUCAUCCAAACCUUCGACUACUACAAGGUGUGGCUUGCAUCAUAAUCUUUUGCUCAACAGUGUGGAAGCAAAAUUUGUAUAUGUUGUCUCUCCCACAUUUUCAAAUUUCUAUUUCCCAAAAAAAAAAAAAAAAGGGAAAUCCAACAAAAGCUUCAUCAAUGGAGGACAUCUACAAAUUCUCAAAAGCUUCACACUAUCUUGAUCAAGAUAGUGUGAAGCAAAAUCAAUUCAUGGUACCCAACAAAAGCUUUAACUCCAAAGCUUCACCUACAAAACUUUAACUCCAAAGCUUCACCUACAAAAGCUUCAACUCCAAAGCUUCACCUACAAAGCUUCAACUCCAAAGCUUCACCUACAAAAGCUUCACCCACAAAAGCUUUAACACAAAAGCUUCACCCACAAAAGUUUCACCUACAAAAGCUUGACCCACAAAAACUUGACCCACAAAAGCUUGACCUACAAAAGCUUCACCCACAAAAGCUUCAACACAAAAGCUUUACCAACAAAAGCUUCAUCAAUGGAGGACAACUACAAAUUCUCAAAAGCUUCACACUAUCUUGAUCAAGAUAGUGUGAUGCAAAAUCAAUUCAUGGUACCCAACAAAAGCUUCAACUCCAAAGCUUCACCUACAAAGCUUCAACUCCAAAGCUUCACCUACAAAAGCUUCAACACAAAAGCUUCACCCGCAAAAGCUUCACCCACAAAAGCUUCAACAUAAAAGCUUCACCCAUAAAAGCUUCAACUACAAAAGCUUGACCCACAAAAGCUUCACUUACAAAAGAACCUACAAAAGUUUGACCCACAAAAGCUUAACCCAUUUAGAAAGGAAAUGCCUCAUUCAAAUAUAUAUAUAUAUAUAUAUAUAUAUUUUUUUUUUUUUUUCGGAAAUUUGAAAAUUCAAAAAUUCGGAAAUUUAAAAAUUCGAAAAUUCGAAGAAAAAAAAAUCCUCUUCUUUGGGCCUAACAACUUUCAUAACAAAUAUAUAUGAAGAAGGAGUUUUGGGCUACCACUUAGAUAGGAAAUGCCUUAUUCGUCAACUCCCUCGACCGGAGACUUGGGGGACUCCUACCAUAUGCUACUGCACCUUGAUACUCAGAAGUCUCACGACCACUCAGUGGCUUGGAUUUUUCAAGUCUCCAAACUAGAAGUUUUCCUCACUCGAGAAAUUAAGGAAGCACUACUUCAACCUACAUGCUUCACCCACAAAGCUUCAACAUACAAGCUUCAACAAAAGGAAAAAUUCAAAGAACUUAGUGAAGAAGGCCUUGGUGUAUUUAACACAAUACGUUGAAAUGAAGCAAAGCUUGUUUAUUGAUAUCUCCGAUAAGUUACAAAUAUGUACAUAUACAUGAAUCAAAAUAAACAAACAAGAGGGAGCCUUCACAAAGGUUGCUCAAGAGAAGUCUCAGCAAUUGGCAGAGCCCCAGAAAGAGGAGGCACCAGAAGGUGAUUAUUCGGAGCCUCAGUACUAGGCAGAACUCUAGAAGGAGGAGGCACCGAAGGUUGAUCAUUUGGAGCUUCAUUACGCGGUACAACCCUAGAAGACGAAGGCAAUAAAUGCCUUUGAAACAAACCCACAAACCUCUGAUGAUCAAGUAAAAUCUGACCAUCAGAUUCCUGCAGCUGGUCGAGCUUCCUCUUCAUGUUUGUAGCAUAGUCAUGUACGAGCCUGUGCAACUGUUUAUUCUCAUGCUUGAGCCUUCUGAUCUCCUGUUUUAGACUUAUCACUUUAGCCGCCAAUAAUUCAACUUGGCGGGUUUGAGCAAAUAAACGUUGGGCCAUAUUAAACAUAGAACCUGCACACUGAACACUGAGAGCCAGAGAAUCCUUAACAGCCAACUCAUCAGACCGUUUGGAAAGUAGUCUGUUAUCUUUGUGAGUGAGAAGGUUCCUGGCCACCAUCGCAGCGAUCAUAUCAUUCUUCAUCACAAAGUCCCCAACGGUAAGAGAACCAGUAGGGGAUAAGAAGGAUGGGCACCAUAUGUUGUCUUGAGAAGGCACGGCUGCCUCUUUACCAAAGUUCAAGUCAAAACGACAGUCGGAUGAGCCAGACAUUCUCAGAAAUGAUGAAGGAGAAAUGAGGUGCAAUAAAUCUUUGAAGUAAGGGGAAAAUUCCUACAAGAAAUAACUCUUUGAAUGUACUUCUUGCACACAAUUGGUGCCCUAAUAAAAGAAAGGGCAACAUGGCCGUUGGUUCAAAAAUCGAGGAGGCACCACUCUCCGGAUUCUGAAAAGGCACAAUUUUCCACACGCAACAUCAGCUCAUCGGGUACCACAGAUAACUUUGCCAAAGAUCUCUGACAAAGUUUAGACACAUAAAUUUUGAAGGUCCAGCUACCCUACUAUUACCCACAAGGGUCAAGGAACAGCAUCACUGCUUGAUAACUAGAAAGUCCUAAUGUGUGUCAACCUCCGUGCUCCGUGGCAAGGCAGACUGGUAAAAAUGCCAAACCUUUACUCACAUUCGAGAAAACACUCCCAACAAGAUUGCUUGCUCAAAAAUCAAAAAGGCACAUCUCUCCGAAUCUCGAGAGCCAAACUCCCAACAGGAUUACGUGCUUAAAAAUCGAAGAGGCACCGCCCUCUGAAUCUCAAGAGCUAGAUUCCCAACAGGAUUACUUUCUUAAGAAUCGAAAAGACACUGCUCGAGUCAGACUCCCAACAGGAUUGCUUUCUCAAAAGUCGAAGAGGCACUGCUCUCCGAAUCUUAAGAGCCAGACUUCCAACAGGAUUAUGUGCUCAAAAAUUGAAGAGGUACCGCCCUCUGAAUCUCGAGAGCCAGACUCCCAACAUGAUUACUUUCUAAAAAAUCGAAGAGACAAUGCUCUCCGAAUCUUAAGAGUCAGACUCCCAACAUGAUUGCUUUCUCAAAAAUAGAAGAGGCAUCGUUCUCUGAAUCUCGAGAGCCAGAUCCUUGACAGGAUUGCUUGUUCGAAAACUGAAGAGGCACCUCUCUCCAAACUUCGAGAGCCAGAUUUCCUUGGAUAAAGCUUGUCUGCAAUCUUCACACGCAACAUCAGCUUUCCAGAUACCACAUACCACUUUUUCAAAGUGCUCUGACAAAGUUAAAACACGCGAAGCUUGCAGCUCCCACUACAUUGCUAUGACCAAGAAAGGUAAAGGAAUAACAUUACUACUUGUUGUUAGGGAUACUUCUAUCUAUGUUGACCUUCAUCCUCCACAACCAGGCAGACCUGCAAAUAAAAAAAAUGCUUAACUUUUCUUCACAUCAGAGAGGGCACUCUUAGCAGAGUCUCUCGAAAUACUCAGCUUCUUUUCCUCCCGAUAAUACCUCUGCAAACAAGCCACACCAGAGCAAGAGUAUCUCAUAUCAUUAGGGUUAAAAGCAAGAGUAUCCCAUAUCAUGCUUUUUCCUUAUCUUUUCCUUUGGCCUUAUUCUUACCUGCAAGACAAGAAGAAAAAGAGUAAUUAGUCAGCACUUGGAAUCCAGCUUCCAGUCAGGAACUGACUGCCUGUAACCCUUUGCCUAAUUACUUACCUGGCAUUUCUCUUGAGUACUCAUCUUCAACAUCUUAUGCUUCCAAAGAAGAUACCACAUCUGCCUGAGGAACAGAUAGGGCAAGUGAGAAGGAUACAAGGAAGCACGUGGAGACAAGCGUAACAGAACACGUGCCGAUACAUCCACUACUUUGUCAACAGCAAAAGUAUCCUAUAUCAUCAGGGUCGAACGUACUCUAGAUUUGAUGGACUUGUUUUGACCCUCAAAUUUUUGAGUCGGCCUUAUACUCUGGAGGAAACCAGAAAACCCUCCAGUCCAGUUCAAGAAUAAGCAUGUGGAAAGUUACUUCUUCAAAAGCAAAAGUAUCUUAUAUCAUCUCUUCUCCAUUUGCUUCCCUUUAUUCUUGUUGCUGUUUAUGACACAAGGAGAAUGAGAACAAUCAACCGGAAGCCGAAGUCGAACCUCUAAUCCAGGUUGCUUGCUUGGAAGUCCGAUUGCUUACCUUGUCUGUUACCUCAUUCGUCAUAUCUCCUAGAUCGGCGACUUGGGGGACUCCUACUAUAGGGUUUGUAUCGCACUUGACCAAGCCCGAAACUACAAGUAAGCUUCAAGUGAAAUUGAUACAUUACCUUGUGCAUCUUCAUCGGUUAAAGAUACCACCCCUGGAUGGUGAAAAAGUACUUCCAGAGAAGAUGCCACAUCUACAUAUGAGACAGAUAAGGCAAGUGAAAAUGAUGCCACACUUCGGUACUUAGAAGUUUCGUGAUUACUCAAUGGGCUGGAUCUUGCAAGUCCCCAACCGAGGAGCUUCCCUCACUCGGGAACUUAGGGGAGCACUGUUUGUACCAUACUUGACCAAUCCCGAAACUACUGAGCACCGGUCAACGUUAUACCGUCAGGGACCCAUAAGAGUUUCCCUCAAACCAGGAGCCAAUCAUAGCGCGACACGUGUCAACAUCAGAAGCCAAUCAUAGCGCGACACGUGUCAACAUCAGAAGCCAAUCACAACACGACACAUGUCAAUGUCAGAAUGAAACUGGAAACUCUCUUCUAUACAUAAAGAUCAUUAUCUCACAAUAUUUCCGAAUGUCAUUUGUACUAAAUCAUUCACUUGUUCUCACUAAAAGAGAGCUUGAACUUAUGUACUUGUGUAAACCCUUCACAAUUAAUAAGAAUUCCUCUACUCCGUGGACGUAGCCGAUCAGGGUGAACCAUGUACAUCUUGUGUUUGCUUCACUGUCUCCAUCCAUUUAUAUACUUAUCCACACUAGUGACUGAAGCAAUCUAGCGAAGGUCGCAAACUUGACACUUUCUGUUAUACCAAAGUCCCCACUGAUUUUGUGCAUCAACAUAUACUAUUUAUGAAACUGAACGGUACUAUAUUAUUUAUGAAAUUGAAUAGGAUUACACUAUUUAUUGAUCCAAAUUCAUAAAUAGUGCCUAGUUCUUGGUUCACUUUCAUAAAUAGUGCCUAGUUAUUGGGUCCAGUUUUAUAAAUAGUGUAUAGUAAUUGGUACAAUUUCAUAACUAGUGUCUCACUCUUUGUCCAGUUUCAUAUAUAGUGCCUAGUUCUUGGUCCACUAUCAUAUAUAGUGCCUAGUUCUUCAUCAUUUUUCAUAAAUAGUGUCUAGUUCUUGGUCCAAUUUCAUAUAUAGUGUAUAGUAAUUUGUACAGUUCCAUAUCUGACUUGGUCUAGUUUCAUAAAUAGUGUCUUUUUCUUGGUCCAGUUUCAUAAAUAGUCUAUUUCUUGGUCCAGUUUUUUGGUUCAGUUUUAAAAAUAAUGCCUUCUUUGAUUUUGAUGCAUCCUCUGCGCAACAACCACCUUCAAGAGAUACUCAGUUGUUCCUCCCUUCUUUUUCACGUUCUCUUCAUGAGAUACCCAAAUCAAACACAACCCUUGCUACGAAGCUACAUAGCUUUGUAAUCACAUAAAAAUGUUGGAGUGGGAGCGAACAAAAAUGUUGGAGUGGUGAAAAAUUUCUUGAGAAAGUUGGAGAUCACCCAGUGGCCGUGAACAGGAAAUUCCAUAAUAACAAAAAAAAUUACUAAAAAAAAAAUUGAAGUGGGUGAAAACCCUGAAAACCCCAAUGUUUGAAGAAAUUGAUGUUAAGUACCUGGGAGUGCUCAUUGAGUUGCACGCGCGCCAAUAAGGUUUUUUUUUUCUUGUGUCUUUAUUAUUAAAUAAAGUUAUAGGAUAGCUUUUGGUUAAAAUGUAAAGUUUUAGAGUUAUUUUCAUUAGUUUUCAUUUUUAUUAAAGACUUACUUUUAGCUAUGUCCUAUGAAACUCGAAUUUAAUCCAAUUUUGCUCAUUGCAGCUCAAAAGUCGCCACUUUACCUCUAAAACUCAAAGUUCACUUCACUUUGCUCCAUGGAAUUCGAUUUUGAUUGCAUUUUUCCCUUGAAACUUGAAAGUCUUCUCUAUAAAACUCAAAAUUCUCUCCACGUUGUCUUAGAUUUGUUAAUCUCUUAUGUGAUUUUGAUUUGGGUGCACCAUGCAAAUCAAUUUAUUUUUUAGUUUUCAUCUCUUUA
rnacentral:lncRNA from 1 species